ACACCCGAGCUGGCCAGAACCACCCAAUCACGGCCUUCUCCUCCUCUACAGCCCGCCUCCUGCAUCCGGGCCCCGGGCGGCUUCUGACCACUGAUAGGCUGCCUGAGGGCCCGCCCCUAACACGUGGGCGCGAAGAAUUCUGGUCUUUGUAGUCCCCAAACGAAGGGCCAGAAAGCCACUGCUAGGCGUAACUCCGUUUCUCAAGAAGCGACGCACCCCGAGGCUAGGAGAUCGUGCCCUUUGAAUCAGGCAGCUCUGGAUUGGCCGGUUGGGAGACAGAAGUUUCCGAAUUGCCAUUGAAACAGGCCCACUUACCUGCAACCUUGGGAAUAUCUUUUUGCCUACGAGUCUCGUGCUUCGCAAUGGUUCCAAAGGCUCAUCCACUCCAGGGCCAUCCGAGUCAGGGCUCCCGCGGCCUCUUCCAGGGAGCCCGGAGCAGCCUGUCCUACCCUACCUGGGCCACCCCUAGACCCCUCACCGAUGAGCAUGCGGUAUUUGUGCGGGUGCCGAGCAUCUUCAAUGACAGGAAUGAUGUUGGUCCUCUUCUUGGCCAAGUUAAUGAGGUCACGGCCGGAGCGGUGGGAGAAC